rnacentral:lncRNA from 1 species
UAAAAUUGAAAGCAGGUCAGAUUCAUUGCAAGGCAAAUUUAAAGACGUCACAAGUGUAUAGCCCAAAAAUAUGCCCGGGUUUAAACCCAUUUCCAUACCCAAAAUUUAAACCCCAUUUUACAAAACCCACUAUAGACCCAACAUGCAUCAAACCCAUCUACAGUAAAUCCACCUAAACUACCAACCCAUUACAAUCAAACCCAAUACCCAUUAGCCCAAGACCCAACACAGCAAACCCAAUACCCAGUAACCCAAUACCAAAUCCUAAAACAGAAAAAAUAAAAAACCCUAAUCACCCCACUUGUGCUGCCACUGUCACCAAAGCCUGCAGCACCGGCCACUGCUCAGCACUGCCCCACCGCCUUCGCACCUUAAGUGGUACCUGCAAGCAAUAAAUAGGAAAAGACAGUAAAAACAAUAGAAACAAAUUGAAGACAGGCUAUAAAAGCCGAAUGUACAAGCAAUGUUGGGGGGUCGAUUUUCUUUUCUUUGUGAACAUCAAUAAAAAUAAAGGAGUUUCGAAAUACGGCGAUAGCUUUCAAUAUAAACAUACAUAAAUCGUGGUUCAAACAACAAAAGAGAUCCAAGAACUGAAUCAGAUCAGUGGCAAAAAAGUGACCCUUUUUUACAUAUAUUUCUCAUUUUAGGCAUUUGUAUAUAGAUGAAUAAAAGGAAGAUAAAAAAUAAAUAAAUAGCAAAAAAAAGAGAGAAUAAAUUACCUUUUCCGGCCACUGUGCGGCGACGGACGGUGGUCCGACGAUCGGGCCGGUGACCGGGCUCCCCACCGGAAAUCUCCCUCUCCCCUUUCCCUUUUCUUUUUUUCUCCUAAGAUGCUAAAUGGUUUUUUUUUA